ACAGCCCCGUACACAAAAAUGCACAUACUGUGAGCUCGAUGAGUAGGGCGGGACACGUGGUAUCCUGUCUGAAUAUGGGGGGACCAUCCUCCAAGGCUAAAUACUCCUGACUGACCGAUAGUGAACCAGUACCGUGAGGGAAAGGCGAAAAGAACCCCGGCGAGGGGAGUGAAAAAGAACCUGAAACCGUGUACGUACAAGCAGUGGGAGCACAGAGCAAUCUGUGUGACUGCGUACCUUUUGUAUAAUGGGUCAGCGACUUAUAUUCUGUAGCAAGGUUAACCGAAUAGGGGAGCCGAAGGGAAACCGAGUCUUAACUGGGCGUUAAGUUGCAGGGUAUAGACCCGAAACCCGGUGAUCUAGCCAUGGGCAGGUUGAAGGUUGGGUAACACUAACUGGAGGACCGAACCGACUAAUGUUGAAAAAUUAGCGGAUGACUUGUGGCUGGGGGUGAAAGGCCAAUCAAACCGGGAGAUAGCUGGUUCUCCCCGAAAGCUAUUUAGGUAGCGCCUCGUGAAUUCAUCUCCGGGGGUAGAGCACUGUUUCGGCAAGGGGGUCAUCCCGACUUACCAACCCGAUGCAAACUGCGAAUACCGGAGAAUGUUAUCACGGGAGACACACGGCGGGUGCUAACGUCCGUCGUGAAGAGGGAAACAACCCAGACCGCCAGCUAAGGUCCCAAAGUCAUGGUUAAGUGGGAAACGAUGUGGGAAGGCCCAGACAGCCAGGAUGUUGGCUUAGAAGCAGCCAUCAUUUAAAGAAAGCGUAAUAGCUCACUGGUCGAGUCGGCCUGCGCGGAAGAUGUAACGGGGCUAAACCAUGCAC
rnacentral:rRNA from 1 species